rnacentral:rRNA from 1 species
UGCCUCAUACAUGCAAGUCGAACGAAGUCUUCAGACUUAGUGGCGCACGGGUGAGUAACAUGUGGGAAUCUACCUGAAGGUUCGGAAUAACUGCGGGAAACUGUAGCUAAUACCGGAUGUGUCUGCAAAGAGAAAGAUUUAUCGCCUUCAGAUGAGCCCGCACUAGAUUAGCUAGUUGGUGAGGUAAAAGCUCCACCAAGGCUACGAUCUAUAGCUGAUUUGAGAGGAUGAUCAGCCACACUGGGACUGAGACACGGCCCAGACUCCUACGGGAGGCAGCAGUAGGGAAUAUUGGACAAUGGGGGAAACCCUGAUCCAGCAAUGCCGCGUGAGUGAAGAAGGCCCUCGGGUUGUAAAACUCUUUCAUCAACGAUGAUAAUGACAUUAAUUGAAGAAGAAGCUCCGGCUAACUUCGUGCCAGCAGCCGCGGUAAUACGAAGGGGGCUAGCGUUGUUCGGAAUCACUGGGCGUAAAGCGUAUGUAGGCGGAUCAAAAAGUUAGAUGUGAAAUCCCUGGGCUCAACCCAGGAACUGCAUUUAAAACUAGUGAUCUAGAAUUUGGUAAAGGUUAGUAGAAUUUCCAGUGUAGAGGUGAAAUUCGUAGAUAUUGGAAAGAAUACCAGAAGCGAAGGCGACUAACUAGGCCAUUUUUGACGCUGAGAUACGAAAGCGUGGGUAGCAAACAGGAUUAGAUACCCUGGUAGUCCACGCAGUAAACGAUGAGUGCUAGUCGCUGGGACUUUAGUUUCAGUGUCGAAGCUAACGCAUUAAGCACUCCGCCU